GGGCGAUUAGCUCAGUUGGCUAGAGCGCUUCGUUUACACCGAAGAUGUCGCUGGUUCGAGUCCGGCAUCGCUCA
rnacentral:tRNA from 1 species